rnacentral:rRNA from 1 species
AGGCCCGACCUCCCAACCCUUUUGAUUACUAGACCUCUGUUGCUUUCGGCG